GUGAGGAAUUUUCCGCAAUGGGCGAAAGCCUGACGGAGCAAUGCCGCGUGAAGGAUGAAGGCCUAUGGGUUGUAAACUUCUUUUCUCAGAAAAGAAUUAUGACGGUAUCUGAGGAAUAAGCAUCGGCUAACUCUGUGCCAGCAGCCGCGGUAAGACAGAGGAUGCAAGCGUUAUCCGGAAUGAUUGGGCGUAAAGCGUUUGUAGGUUGUUUAAAACGUAUUAUGUCAAAGAUUAGGGCUUAACCCUAGAUAGGCAGAAAAAACUUUUAAGCUAGAGUUUGGUAGAGGCAGAGGGAAUUCCCGGUGGAGCGGUGAAAUGCGUAGAUAUCGGGAGGAACACCAAAGGCGAAGGCACUCUGCUGGGCCAAUACUAACACUGAGAGACGAAAGCGAGGGGAGCAAAUGGGAUUAGAAACCCCUGUAGUCC
rnacentral:rRNA from 1 species